rnacentral:rRNA from 1 species
CAGCAGCCGCGGUAAUACCGGCGGCCCGAGUGGCGGCCACUAUUAUUGGGCCUAAAGCGUCCGUAGCCGGGCUGGUAAGUCCCCCGGGAAAUCUGGCGGCUUAACCGUCAGAAUUCCGGGGGAUACUGCCAGCCUAGGGACCGGGAGAGGCCGGGGGUAUUCCCGGGGUCGGGGUGAAAUCCUGUAAUCCCGGGAGGACCACCUGUGGCGAAGGCGCCCGGCUGGAACGGGUCCGACGGUGAGGGACGAAGGCCAGGGGAGCGAACCGGAUUAGAUACCCGGGUAGUCCUGGCUGUAAACGAUGCGGACUUUGUGUCGGACAAGCUAUGAGCUUGUCCGGUGCCGGAGGGAAACCGUUAAGUCCGCCGCCUGGGGAGUACGGCCGCAAGGCUGAAACUUAAAGGAAUUGGCGGG